AACGAUGAAGCCCUUCGGGGUGGAUUAGUGGCGAACGGGUGAGUAACACGUGGGCAAUCUGCCCUUCACUCUGGGACAAGCCCUGGAAACGGGGUCUAAUACCGGAUACGAGGUUCGCAGGCAUCUGUGAACUUGGAAAGCUCCGGCGGUGAAGGAUGAGCCCGCGGCCUAUCAGCUUGUUGGUGAGGUAACGGCUCACCAAGGCGACGACGGGUAGCCGGCCUGAGAGGGCGACCGGCCACACUGGGACUGAGACACGGCCCAGACUCCUACGGGAGGCAGCAGUGGGGAAUAUUGCACAAUGGGCGAAAGCCUGAUGCAGCGACGCCGCGUGAGGGAUGACGGCCUUCGGGUUGUAAACCUCUUUCAGCAGGGAAGAAGCGAAAGUGACGGUACCUGCAGAAGAAGCGCCGGCUAACUACGUGCCAGCAGCCGCGGUAAUACGUAGGGCGCAAGCGUUGUCCGGAAUUAUUGGGCGUAAAGAGCUCGUAGGCGGCUUGUCACGUCGAUUGUGAAAGCCCGAGGCUUAACCUCGGGUCUGCAGUCGAUACGGGCUAGCUAGAGUGUGGUAGGGGAGAUCGGAAUUCCUGGUGUAGCGGUGAAAUGCGCAGAUAUCAGGAGGAACACCGGUGGCGAAGGCGGAUCUCUGGGCCAUUACUGACGCUGAGGAGCGAAAGCGUGGGGAGCGAACAGGAUUAGAUACCCUGGUAGUCCACGCCG
rnacentral:rRNA from 1 species